CACGCUGUAAACGAUGUCAACUUGGAGUCUGUGCCAUUGAGCGUGGGCUCCGAAGCUAACGCGAUAAGUUGACCGCCUGGGGAGUACGGCCGCAAGGUUAAAACUCAAAUGAAUUGACGGGGGCCCGCACAAGCGGUGGAGCAUGUGGUUUAAUUCGAUGCAACGCGAAGAACCUUACCUGGCCUUGACAUGUCUGGAAUCCUGUAGAGAUACGGGAGUGCCUUCGGGAAUCAGAACACAGGUGC
rnacentral:rRNA from 1 species